rnacentral:rRNA from 1 species
AGUCGAACGAGCCCUUCGGGGUUAGUGGCGCACGGGUGCGUAACGCGUGGGAAUCUGCCCUUCGGUUGGGAAUAACACAGAGAAAUUUGUGCUAAUACCUUAUAAUGUCUUCGGACCAAAGAUUUAUCGCCGAGGGAUGAGCCCGCGUAAGAUUAGGUAGUUGGUGGGGUAAUGGCCUACCAAGCCGACGAUCUUUAGCUGGUCUGAGAGGAUGAUCAGCCACACUGGGACUGAGACACGGCCCAGACUCCUACGGGAGGCAGCAGUGGGGAAUAUUGGACAAUGGGCGAAAGCCUGAUCCAGCAAUGCCGCGUGAGUGAUGAAGGCCUUAGGGUUGUAAAGCUCUUUUACCAGGGAUGAUAAUGACAGUACCUGGAGAAUAAGCUCCGGCUAACUCCGUGCCAGCAGCCGCGGUAAUACGGAGGGAGCUAGCGUUGUUCGGAAUUACUGGGCGUAAAGCGCGCGUAGGCGGUUUCUCAAGUCAGAGGUGAAAGCCCGGGGCUCAACCCCGGAACUGCCUUUGAAACUAGGAGACUAGAAUCUUGGAGAGGUCAGUGGAAUUCCGAGUGUAGAGGUGAAAUUCGUAGAUAUUCGGAAGACACCAGUGGCGAAGGCGACUGACUG